rnacentral:lncRNA from 1 species
AGUGAUCCGUAAUUAAUAAUGACUAGUGAGAUUUCUAGCAUGGAUGCUGUGAUGAAGAGACAAAUAGAAGAAAAAUUAUAUGGUUAUUUCAUCAGCUUUCCAAGACACUGGCCUCUAUAAGAAAUAGUGUUUUAAGAGUUAGAUGAAGAGUUGUGCAUGGAUACUGCAGGGCCCUCCAGGGCACCUUCUUCUUAGACUCUAUUAAAUUUUAGAUUCGCGUGAUGACCACAGGCCACCCUUGGCCCCAGUCUACUCCGAAUGCUGUAGGACGGGAGCCACAGAGUGCCAGCAGGUCGGCGUCGGGUGCUCCUCUGCCGUGGUAGAAGUUCUUGAGCAGUCUUUGCCCCUGUCCAGAGGGCUGUCCAGGAGCGACUCUCUGGCCCCUCACAUGGAAGGAAUUAAACUCCCAUCCAGCAGAAGUAAUUCGAUAAUGAAGACCACGAUGAAGGCUUCUGAGGAAGCAUUCCCAAAGCCCAGCUGUGACCAACAGAGAAGAGGAGACAGUUGGGGGACGAUCCUUUUCUUGGAGCUUGAAGCCCUGGGAGCCCUCAGCGAGGACUUGACCAGCCUCUUCCCACACGGCCCCCGCUGGAACUCUGUGAGAUUUCUGGACAUCUGUUACUUCCCUCUGCUGGUUAUUUUUGAGGCCCUCUGUCAGUUUCCUCAGAGAAUUGUCUAGAAAACUCUAACUCUAAAAUUAAAAUGGCCUCUGCACUUGUCCUCAUGGCCAGUCAGUUGGGGGAAGGUGGGGAAGACUGUCCUGGUUAGAAGGCUGAGGGAGGACGGAGAGUGAUGGUGACAGGGAGCGAGUCUGGCCCUGGGGUUUCCCCAAAGGGAGGCAGGGCCCAGUGAGUGAUCCUGUGAGGGUCUCCUCCACACCUGCCUGCUUCGUUUGCUGGGUCACACUGGGCCAAUCCUUGUUUCUCUCCACCUCAGUUUUAAUUCCAUUGAAGUUCAUUGUCUGAGGUAAAGGGGACACCUCUGUUUUCAGUGGGCCUAGCUCAGCCUCUCAGUGGGCAGGAAUAAAUUUAGUAUACUUGGACACUGCAUAUUAAGCCCUUUGCUUUUGUUUUUAAAGGUGCAGUGCUUUCCUUUUUCCCAGCCCCCAUCCCCCAGUCACAUGGCUGUAUUGUGUGUCUUAAACAGCUGGUUUGGCUCCCCCAGAGGGAGUACUCAGGGAUGAGUCAGCCCCUCUGGGACCAGAGGUGGAGCUGCCCAGAACUGUUUCUUACCAACUCCUGGAAAGCUGCCUCAGGUGCUACUGGUGGAGAUGGCCCAAGGCAGGUGGGGAGUCACAGUCCCACAGGCGACAGUGAAGGAGGACUUUGGGAACCAUAAGGAAUGGGGCAUCAGUCGCCAAGAGAAUUCAGUUCCCCAGGCGCUAGGUAGGCAUUGUCCUUUUUCUCCCCCAAUGCCUUGGGGAGUUUAGUUUGCCACGUUCAAAGCUGGUUUAAAAAUAUCAUAAGACAACCCUCCUUGUUUAUCCCAUCUAAGUGGCUCCUGGAUUCGUUGGAAAAGAACUUUCCAAGUUGAGCUGUAAAUAUUGAAAGAUGUCUUUGUCAGUCACAUAAAUAACUUGGCAGUGUUGUGUGCGUAUGUGCGUAGAAAACUUGUCCAAAAGAUAUUUCAACCCCUAGGCUAUUGCCAGGGAGGCUCUUCGAUAACCACGGGGGCCUUUUGGAAAGAUGCUCUGGAGAUGUCAUGUUCUCAGGGUCCAGAACAGCUCAGCGCAGCCUCCUCCACGACACUGUGGGGAAGGACAUGAAUCUGAAUCGCCGGGUGAACCCUCUGCUCCCCCCACGUUGCUCCUAUCUCAGCUCUAAGGCAGCCACACCAAGUCACCGUGCAGGGCCACUUCUAAUCAUCUGUUUUACCUCCUUUCGCCUGGGACGUUCAUGGUUCCUGGUUGGUUUAAAUGAUCUAUUGCUGUGUGAUAAAACCCCCAACGGUGGGGCUUAAAACAACAACCAUCGUUUAGUUUGCUUGUGAGCUUGCGUUUUGUGCUGGGCUUGCCGAGACA